rnacentral:rRNA from 1 species
AUGGAAGAAGCAGGCAUGGAGUUCCUUCUGGACGCCGUGGACAGGUUCCCCUUGCUUGAGGAAUUCGCCGACGGCGUUGAGCAUCCAGAUCCAGUUCCUCUGGGGCGGAUGCAAGCGAACGAGCCCAGUUACGCGGGUAGCCCUGUAUCAAAAGAUGAUUCUGGGUGCGGCCAGCAGAUUGGCGAAGUUGAGGUGAACGGAAGGCAACCUGCUGCUCGCCGCCGUACGAACACAUCUCCAACUCGGUCUGGACAGUCAACUGACAGGGUGAAUCCAGAAGCACCCGGGUGGACUAAAAGGUUACGGCUAGGGAGCGCGCCACCGGACAGGACACCAUGUCCCAGCCGUAUGAGCGCUCUGGAGGAGUCGAUGCGCAAGUACGCUAAAGAGCCCAGCAAAAAUGUGGUGCGGCCAACACUUGGUCUGACUUUUGAUUCGCUUGGUGAAGCAUACGACUUCUACAAUUUGUAUUCCUGGGAAACCGGUUUCGGCAUUAGAUAUGGAAAGAGUCGGCUGAACGUUGAGAGGAUAAAGUGCAUGCAAGAAAUAGUGUGCGGUUGCUCGGGGAAGCCAGAAGCAGAAAAUAGUAGAUCGUGCAGGUGUGAGUGUCCAGCUUUGAUAAGAUUGUUGCGAGCAGCGGACAACAGCUGGUACAUUACAGAACACAGAGAGAACCAUAAUCAUUCAAUGUCAUUGACAAUGGGUGAGAAAGUUCACCGGCCGUCGCACAAGCACAUUGAUGUGUACACUAAGGAUCUCAUAAAACAGCUACGGAAGAACAAUGUUAACCUUGGCAAGGUGUACAGCAUAAUAGGAUGUUUCUUCGGGUCGGUUGAGAAGGUUCCAUUCACUAAGAGGACUCUGAGGAACAUAUGCGGGAAGAUCAGUCAGGAGCAGGCCGAUGAUGAUGUUAGGAAGACACUUGAAGUGUUCGCUGACAUAUAG